rnacentral:rRNA from 1 species
UACGGGGGGAGCAAGCGUUGUUCGGAUUUACUGGGCGUAAAGGGCGCGUAGGCGGCCUGUGCAAGUCAGUUGUGAAAUCUCCGAGCUUAACUCGGAAAGGUCAACUGAUACUGCUCGGCUAGAGUGCGGAAGGGGCAACUGGAAUUCUUGGUGUAGCGGUGAAAUGCGUAGAUAUCAAGAGGAACACCUGCGGCGAAGGCGGGUUGCUGGGCCGACACUGACGCUGAUGCGCGAAAGCUAGGGGAGCGAACGGG